UACCAGCACCCCGAGUGGUCGGGACGUUUAUUGGCCUAAAGCAUCCGUAGCCGGUUCUACAAGUCUUCCGUUAAAUCCAGCUGCUUAACAGAUGGGCUGCGGAAGAUACUAUGGAGCUAGGAGGCGGGAGAGGCAAGCGGUACUCGAUGGGUAGGGGUAAAAUCCGUUGAUCCAUUGAAGACCACCAGUGGCGAAGGCGGCUUGCCAGAACGCGCUCGACGGUGAGGGAUGAAAGGCUGGGGG
rnacentral:rRNA from 1 species